UUUGAUGACCCCUAGAGUUAUAAUCACUA
rnacentral:piRNA from 1 species